rnacentral:miRNA from 14 species
ACAAGUUAGGCUCUUGGGACCU